rnacentral:rRNA from 1 species
GUCUANCCUGCCCAAUGAGGUAUUUAAUGGCCGCAGUAUUUUGACUGUGCAAAGGUAGCAUANUAAUUAGUCUUUUAAUUGAAGGCUUGAAUGAAGGGUUGGAUGAAAUAUUAACUGUCUUAAUUUAAUUAUAUAGAAUUUUAUUUUUUAGUGAAAAAGCUAAAAUGUAUUUAAAAGACGAGAAGACCCUAUUAAUCUUUAUAUUUUAUAUAUAAURGGAAGUUAGAUUAUUUAUUUUAUUAUAUUGUAAAUAUUUUAUUGGGGUGAUAUUAAAAUUUAAUUAAUUUUUAAUUUUUGUUGACAUAAAUUAAUGAGUURUUGAUCUAUUGUGUAUAAUUAUAAGUUUAAGUUACUAUAGGGAUAACAGCGUAAUUUUUUUGGUAAGUUCAUAUUAAUAAAAAGGAUUGCGACCUCGAUGUUGGAUUAAGAUAAGGUUUAGGUGAAGAAGUUUAAAUUUU